UGGCCAUAUCCCGUUGAAACACCGGUUCUCGUACGGUCACAGAAGUUAAGCAACGUCAAGGCUGGUCAGUAUCUAGAUGGAUGACCGCAUAGGAAAAUCAGGUGCUGUAAG